AUGAAAUGCAUUUUUUCUGGAUCCAGAUUCAAGCACAAGCCUCCACUACCUUGGUCAGCAAGAACCAUGUCAGUAGGGGUUGCAGUAAUUGUUCUUCUAGUUGGGCAUAUAUUUCAUGCAGCUUUAAACCGCAUUGAGGAGGUAGAAGAUGAUUAUUGUCAAAUGAGAGAGCUGAAAGUCCAAGCAGAAUCUGCUGAUGUUGCAAAAUCUCAGUUUCUGGCAACAGUUUCCCAUGAAAUCAGGACUCCGAUGAAUGGUGUCUUAGGUAUGUUGCAGAUGCUGAUGGACACAGAUCUUGAUGCAACCCAACAAGAUUUUGCAAUGACUGCUCAAUCAAGUGGAAAGGCUCUGAUAGCUCUAAUAAAUGAGGUUCUUGAUCAGGCUAAGAUAGAAUCUGGCAGACUUGAAUUAGAGGCUGUUCCUUUUUGAUCUUUGUGAUGUUCUGGACAAUGUGCCGUCUCUUUUUUCAGAUAAAUCACAAGCCAAAGGCAUAGAGAUGGCAGUGUAUGUAUCUGAACGAGUUCCAGAGAUUCUAAUUGGAGACCCUGGAAGGCUCAGGCAGAUCAUCACAAAUCUUGUUGGAAACUCAGUGAAGUUCACAGAAGUGGGGCAUAUAUUUGUUUCAGUAGAUUUAGUCGAAGAAGUAGAGAGAGAGAAAGAUGUGUUGUGUGAGACUUUGAGUGGGUUCAAAGUAGCAGACAAACAAAAAGUCUGGGAGAAUUUCACAAUGUUCAAAUCUUCGACUGAAGGUAAUGACGCAAUCAACUUGAUGGUGACUGUUGAAGACACUGGUGUCGGAAUACCUCAAGAUGCUCAGAACCGUAUUUUUACUCCAUUUAUGCAAGCUGAUGGUUCUCCUUCACGGACAUAUGGUGGGACAGGAAUAGGCCUAAGCAUUAGCAAAUGCUUAGUUGACCUUAUGGGAGGAGAGAUAGGACUUGUAAGUAAGCCAGGGAUUGGCAGUACAUUUUCUUUCACUGCUGUGUUCAAGGAAGGAUGCAGAAAUUCAGGUGAUGCAAAGAGGCAUCAUUCUGACCCAGCUUUAUCAGAUUUCCAAGGUAUGAGAGGACUGGUAGCUGAUGGGAGAUGUAUUCGUGCUAGAAUCACCAAGUAUCAUUUGCGAAGAUUGGGGAUUCAUGUUGAUGUUGUAAGCAACCAAGACUCUGCACUUGGUACCAUAUUGGAUGCAUGCAAUACCAGAUUGCAGGAAAAAUGGUGCAGCGAUGCCUUUAGGAAGUCUGCCAAAUAUGUUUCUGGUAGUAACUUCCCAAAGCCCCACCGAGGUUCAUGAACUGAAGUCAGCAGGAUAUGUUGAUAGUAUACUGAAACCACUGCGCCCAGGUAUCAUUGCUGCUUGUCUGUGGAAAGCACUAGGCAUGGAGCACAAGAGGCAGCAAUUCAAAGGCAAAUCAAUGCCACUUCAAAGUCUUCUCAGUGGA